rnacentral:rRNA from 1 species
AGGACGAACGCUGGCGGUGUGCUUCACACAUGCAAGUCGAACGAGGUAGCAAUACCUAGUGGCGGACGGGUGAGUAACGCGUGGGAAUCUGCCUUUGGAUGGGGGAUAACGGUUCGAAAGAGUCGCUAAUACCGCAUAUGACGAAAGUUGAAAGGAGUAAUCCGUCUAAAGAUGAGCCCGCGUCCGAUUAGCUAGUUGGUAAGGUAAGAGCUUACCAAGGCGACGAUCGGUAGCUGGUCUGAGAGGAUGAUCAGCCACAAUGGGACUGAGACACGGCCCAUACUCCUACGGGAGGCAGCAGUGGGGAAUUUUACGCAAUGGGCGAAAGCCUGACGUAGCGACACCGCGUGAACGAAGAAGCCUCUUGGGGUGUAAAGUUCUGUCAGCUGGAACGAAAAAAAUGACGGUACCAGCAGAGGAAGCAUCGGCUAACUACGUGCCAGCAGCCGC